rnacentral:rRNA from 1 species
UAGUUAUUAAUUGAAGGUAAAUUCUGCCCUAUGAUUAAGUUUAAAUGGCUGCAGUAUAUUGACUGUGCAAAGGUAGCAUAAUAAUUAGUCUUUUAAUUGAAGGCUUGUAUGAAUGAAUUCAUGAGAGGUUUAUUUUAUUAUUUUUAUAGUUAAAAUUUAAUUUUUGAGUAAAAAAGCUUAAUUGUUUUUUUGGGACGAUAAGACCCUAUAGAAUUUAAUUAAUUUUUGAUUAAUUGCUUUUUGUUUAGUGUUAUUCAAUUUUUUAUUUAUUAAUUUUGUUGGGGUGACGAAUAAAUUUGACUUUAUUUUUGGAAAUCAUUAAUUUAUGUUUUUUUGAUCCAUUAUUUGAUUAAAAGAUUAAAUUACCUUAGGGAUAACAGCGUAAUUUUUAUGGGGAGUUCAUAUUUAUAUAAAAGUUUGCGACCUCGAUGUUGAAUUAAGAUAAAAUUUUGGAGCAG